rnacentral:rRNA from 1 species
GCAGGCUUAACACAUGCAAGUCGAGGGGCAGCGCUGGUGUAGCAAUACACCUGGCGGCGACCGGCGGAAGGGUGCGUAACGCGUGAGCAACAUUCCCGCAUCUGGGGGAUAAGCGCUGGAAACGGCGUCUAAUACCCCAUAACAACGGAUUCCGCAUGGUAUCCGUUUGAAAGUUGCGACGGAUGCGGAUUGGCUCGCGUGACAUUAGCUAGCCGGCGGGGUAACGGCCCACCGGGGCGACGAUGUCUAGGGGUUCUGAGAGGAAGGUCCCCCACACUGGAACUGAGACACGGUCCAGACUCCUACGGGAGGCAGCAGUGAGGAAUAUUGGUCAAUGGGCGGAAGCCUGAACCAGCCAUGCCGCGUGAAGGAAUGAGGCCCUAUGGGUCGUAAACUUCUUUUGUGGCGGAGCAAUAAGGGCUACGCGUAGUCCGAUGAGAGUACGUCACGAAUAAGCAUCGGCUAACUCCGUGCCAGCAGCCGCGGUAAUACGGAGGAUGCAAGCGUUAUCCGGAUUUAUUGGGUUUAAAGGGUGCGUAGGCUGUGCCGCAAGUCGGGGGUGAAAGCCCGGGGCCCAACCCCGGAUGUGCCCUUGAUACUGCGGUGCUGGGGUUCGGAUGCCGUGGGAGGAAUGGGCAGUGUAGCGGUGAAAUGCAUAGAUAUUGCCCAGAACACCGAUUGCGAAGGCAUCUCACGAAUCCGACACUGACGCUGAGGCACGAAAGCGUGGGGAUCAAACAGGAUUAGAUACCCUGGUAGUCCACGCAGUAAACGAUGAUGACUAACUGUCGGCGAUAAACAGUCGGUGGCCAAGCGAAAGCGAUAAGUCAUCCACCUGGGGAGUACGUUCGCAAGAAUGAAACUCAAAGGAAUUGACGGGGGCCCGCACAAGCGGAGGAACAUGUGGUUUAAUUCGAUGAUACGCGAGGAACCUUACCCGGGCUCGAACGGCAGUUGAACGACCCAGAGAUGGGAAGGCCCUUCGGGGCGGCUGUCGAGGUGCUGCAUGGUUGUCGUCAGCUCGUGCCGUGAGGUGUCGGCUUAAGUGCCAUAACGAGCGCAACCCUUGCCGCCAGUUACCAGCAAGUAGCGUUGGGGACUCUGGCGGGACUGCCACCGCAAGGUGAGAGGAAGGCGGGGAUGACGUCAAAUCAGCACGGCCCUUACGUCCGGGGCGACACACGUGUUACAAUGGCGGCCACAGAGGGAAGCCACCCCGCGAGGGGGCGCGAAUCCCGAAAAGCCGCCUCAGUUCGGACUGGAGUCUGCAACCCGACUCCACGAAGCUGGAUUCGCUAGUAAUCGCGCAUCAGCCAAGGCGCGGUGAAUACGUUCCCGGGCCUUGUACACACCGCCCGUCAAGCCAUGAAAGCCGGGGGCGCCUGAAGUCCGUGACCGCGAGGGUCGGCCUAGGGUGAAA